rnacentral:rRNA from 1 species
AACCUGGUUGAUCCUGCCAGUAGUCAUAUGCUUGUCUUAAAGAUUAAGCCAUGCAUGUCUAAGUAUAAGCAUUUAUACCGCGAGACUGCGAACGGCUCAUUAAAACAGUUAUGGUUUAUUUGAUGGUUCCUUUGCUACUUGGAUAACCGUAGUAAUUCUAGAGCUAAUACAUGCACGAAGGGGCGACUUACGAAGCCCUGUAUUUAUUAGAUUAAAGCCAACCGCCUCCGGGCGCUCGUGGUGAAUCAUAGUAACUAAUCGGAUCGCCGGCUCUAUGCCAGCGACGUGUCAUUCAAAUUUCUGCCCUAUCAGCUUUAGAUGGUAGGAUAUGGGCCUACCAUGGCGGUGACGGGUAACGGAGAAUUAGGGUUCGAUUCCGGAGAGGGAGCCUGAGAAACGGCUACCACUUCUAAGGAAGGCAGCAGGCGCGCAAAUUACCCAAUCCUGACUCAGGGGGGUAGUGACAAGAAAUAACAAUAAACCGGCUUAUGCCGGUUUAAUUGGAAUGAGUACAAUUUAAACAUCUUAACGAGGAACAAUUGGAGGGCAAGUCUGGUGCCAGCAGCCGCGGUAAUUCCAGCUCCAAUAGC